rnacentral:rRNA from 1 species
UCGAACGGUUAAAGCACCUUCGGGUGUGUAUAGAGUGGCGAACGGCUGAGUAACACGUGGGCAACCUGCCCUUUGCAUCGGGACAGCCUCGGGAAACCGUGGUUAAUACCGGAUACUCCAUCUUUCUCACAUGAAAAAGAUGGGAAAGUGUUUAGCGGCAAGGGAUGGGCCCGCGCCCUGUUAGCUUGUUGGUGGGGUAAAAGCCUACCAAGGCAAUGAUGGGUAGCCGGGUUGAGAGACCGACCGGCCAGAUUGGGACUGAGACACGGCCCAGACUCCUACGGGAGGCAGCAGUGGGGAAUCUUGCACAAUGGGCGAAAGCCUGAUGCAGCGACGCCGCGUGCGGGAUGAAGGCCUUCGGGUUGUAAACCGCUUUCAGCAGGGACGAGGCGAAAGUGACGGUACCUGUAGAAGAAGCCCCGGCUAACUACGUGCCAGCAGCCGCGGUAAUACGUAGGGGGCAAGCGUUAUCCGGAUUCAUUGGGCGUAAAGCGCGCGUAGGCUGCCCAGUAGGUCGAGAGUUAAAUCCGGGGGCUCAACCCCCGUCCGCUCCCGAUACCGCUGGGCUUCGAGUCUGGUAGGGGAAGGUGGAAUUCCCAGUGUAGCGGUGGAAUGCGCAGAUAUUGGGAAGAACACCGGUGGCGAAGGCGGCCUUCUGGGCCAUGACUGACGCUGAGGCGCGAAAGCUAGGGGAGCGAACAGGAUU